GCCCAGCCGUAAACUUUUACUUACAUCAAAUCGCCAGGGAACUACGAGCCAAGCUUAAAACCCAAAGGACUUGACGGUACCCCACAUCCCCCUAGAGGAGCCUGUCCUAUAAUCGAUAAUCCACGUUUAACCUCACCAUUUUUAGUUAGUCAGCCUGUAUACCUCCGUCGUCAGCUUACCACGUGAGCGCCAAUUAGUGAGCCUAAUGUUUAUUCACCAACACGUCAGGUCAAGGUGCAGCAAAUGAAGUGGAAAGAGAUGGGCUACACUUUCUAUUUUAGAAGAAACGAAAAACUAUCUAUGAAAUCUAGUUAGAAGGCGGAUUUAGCAGUAAAAAGGAAUCAGCACGUCCAUUUUAACCCGGCACUGGGGUGUGU
rnacentral:rRNA from 2 species